GACGCCUCUGAUGCCAAAGUUAGAAUAGGAAAAUGCUCUAUGAGAUGAAAUAGAUAAGUAAGAUAAUAAUAAGUGUUUUUCAGAGUGUGUAUGUACCUUCUGUUGACAGUAUGGGGGCUUUAUAUAUGUGACUUUGGUUGCUAGCUGUUGUGGUCGUUAAUGCCUUUCUUAGUAAUGCCUCCUGCCUAAUAAUGAGGCUUUUAAUAGGCUCCCAACGGUCUAUUUGGCUGGUUUUAUAACUGCCCAAGUCAUCGAUUGAUUAUAUUGAAUGAUUUCCCUAUCUUCGUCGAUGGUGACUGGUUUCUUCGUCCCAGGACAACUUCGUCAUGAGUGUUGGCUUCGUCUAGGAGAUGUAAUCUCAUCAUUCCCAUCAGUUGCCCCCAAGUUCUGUGGUCGUUUAUAAUGUGUCAUGAGGACCAUAGAAGAUGAAAAGUUUUCCUGAGUUAUCUAUGACUCUUGGGGUUCUACUCCGAAUUUAAUGUAUAGUGGCGGCGCUACACGCAAUGUGGCCACGUGGCGCAUGCUGAUUGAUGGAGUUAAUGGCAUAAUCCUUGGGUUUCCUGCUAUUUUUCAGUUUCCUUGGGUCUUGGUUUCAAAACUUUCCUUUCCUUCACUUUAAUCAUUUACUCUGAGUUUUAUUUUUCCCGUUUAUUCCUACGAUCAUUCCGACCCUGCUCCAACGACAUUUUUCGAAUUUUUCUGGAUUCAAUCGUUUAUUCUUCAAGGUACGUUCCUCUUUUCCUCCUCUUCUAUUCUCUUUUCCUUCACAACCUAUUAUGAGUUCCUGAUUUUUCUUUGCCCUUUGUUUUGUUGUGAUUAUGUUUGUUUUUCGGGUUUUCAGGAUUUUAUUCCCCUUUUCAUGGUCAGUUCCUCUAAGGUUAGGGUAGCUUGCCCCUCGAUCUCUUUCUUUUUUGCUCGCUUAGGGGCGGCUUUAGGUGUUUCUAGUGACUUUUUUCCUUUCGUUAGGGAUUUUUUUUGAAGGUUGUGGGUUGAGUGUGGUUUUAGGCGAGCUAUCUCCAAUAUUAGACCAAUCACUUGCUUGGUUUGAGGGUGAAGCGAAGAGGAUGUCGGAGGUGAGAUCUAGUGAACUUGAAAUUGGGUUGUCAUCUAGCGAUGGCCCAGUGGAGGGUGAUACGGCCAUCUCUGCCCCUCGUUCAGUUAGGGCUUUCUACGCCCUCAAGGAGGCGUGCGGGCUGGACGCUGAUACCAUGGCUAGGUUUAAGGAUAGAUUUCAAUUUCCUGAACGGGUUCGUGUUCGUUGGCCCAGUAGUGAGGAUCAGGCAUGCCACUUCUUCCCUAGUGAGGUAUGCUUCUACCAGGCUGCUUUCACUUGUGGGCCUAGGCUUCCCGUCCAUCUGUUGGUGAUGGAGCUUUUAGGUUAUUUUGGCAUUGCUCCCGGGCAACUUAUGCCCAAUUCAUGGAGGAUAGUGAUCAACUGUAUGGAAAUAUGGUUGGCCGCUAACGGGGAUAUGAUCAAGGUGAGUGAGCUCGUCUACCUUUACCGUUUAAAAGAGUCAAAAGAAUAUGGAUAUUAUGAGUUAGUACCUUGGGCGAGGAGGACUAGGAUCGUCAAGGGUUUACCCUCGUCAUUCAGGUAUUGGAAGUCUCGUUUCUUUUUCAUGUCAGGUGACGAUUUUGAAAGCCCUUCUAGCGAGGCUUGGGGUGAUAUCCCAAGGUUACUCCGUCGGUGGGGAACCCCGAACUUAGGUGCGUCAAUGUUUCUCCUCGUUUGUUAAUUUUCAUUCUGCUUAUGUGUUCGUCUCUAACUCUUGUAGUUAUCUCUUUGGCAGUUAAGAGACGUCCUAAGUAAAAGUGCAAAUACCAAGAUCGUGUUGAAAAGGCGAUAGAGUACGCCAGGACGAUUGAAAGUUGGGAGGACCUUGUAGAUCCACGGACACUUGCAUUCUAUUGCUUAGGCCCAGACCCAUCUCCCUACGUCUUGCGCAACAUCGACAUCAAGGGAAAAAAGAAGAUGACGACUAAGUUCAACAAGGACAUGUAUGCCAAGAUGAGGUCUAAGAAGGACGAGCCUUUGUCCAAUAUCGGGAAGAAGGGAGUGUGCGUGACUGGGAAAGGCUCGCCCGCUACUCCAGUUGUUUCGCUUACUCCCGUCAUCUCCGGUGCUGAGACCGUGAGGACGAUCUCUCUAGCCAUUUCGGUUGAAGAUAUUCCCACUCCUUCGUCAAAGAGGCAGCGUAUAUCAGGCAAGGAGAAGGAGAAGGCUGAUUCUCAUUCAUCCACUGUAUAGGGAGAUCAAGGUCUAGCUGUGGACAGGGCACACGGAGUUGUUACGGCCGAGGACUUAAAGGUUUUUGCCAACGUGCCUUUCAACGUGGUCGCAAAUCAACAAGUCCCAAGCUCGUCCAGGUGUUGGGGGAGAGUCUCCACAUUGCUUCUGAGUACCUCACUCAGGAGGCCAAGGUGGCAUCAAUAACGUCCAAAAUGGUGGCCCUGGACAAGGAGAAUUCUACAAUGAAGAAAAAGCUCAUUGAUUCCAUGCACGAGGUCAAUACCUUGAAGGAAAGUACCAAGACUUUGUCCGACGAUCUUCGUGCUGAGCGUUAGUUGACCUUGGAGAAGGACGAACAGCUUCUGACAACCAAGGAAAAGCUCAAAACUAUUGCUGCAAGGUCCGUCAAGGCUUUCCAGUAGACUGAUGAGUACAACACUGUGCUCUUCAGUUGGUACUUCAAAGGCUUUAAGCUUUUAAGGCGGUAUCUCCUCAAGCAUCCCAUCGGAGUUGAUUUGCAAAACUUGGAUCUUGAGGUGGUGGACCAGGAGAUGGCGACUGACGAGGCUGCCUAAUCUUCUGUUAUUGAAGAUGAUGUCUCUGACAAGACUACUACUGACGAUGUUGAUGCUGCCAGGAAUGAUGCUUCUAUAGGUGAUGACGCUGUCGCUGGCCCCUGAAUCUUCAUACUUAUGGAAAUUUCUUCUUUUCUUUUGUUAGCCCGUCAUGUUUUCGGCUUUUUUGUAAAUCGAAUUUUAGAACAAUUUAAUCUGUCUUGAGAACAAUUUUUGUGUUGCCCAGUGUUUAUGGGUUUUUUGGGUAUAACAACAAUGGUAAUUUGCCCUUGGUUUUUGGGCUUUUAAUUGAA